rnacentral:lncRNA from 1 species
UCUUGAUUUUUCUUUUCUACAAUAGCUUUGUCAUUUUUGGCAUUGACAAUAACAGUAGUCAGCUCGUUAAGCCUUUUAUUCAAAAUUUCUAUUUCAGACUUCAAUUCAAUGUUUUCGCGAUAAUACUGAGCAAUUCUUGAGCCCGGUGACAUUGGUGGAUCAAUCCAUUCAAACGAGUUACAUGGUAUUGUUUUAUAAUUUGUG